rnacentral:rRNA from 1 species
GACGAACGCUGGCGGCGUGCUUAACACAUGCAAGUCGAACGGAAAGGCCCUGCUUUUGUUGGGUGCUCGAGUGGCGAACGGGUGAGUUACACGUGAGUAACCUGCCCUUGACUUUGGUAUAACUUCACGAAACUGGGGCUAAUACCGGAUAGGAGCUCCUGCUUCUUUGUGGGGGUUGGACAGUUUCGGCGGUUGGGGAUGGACUCGCGGCUUAUCAGCUUGUUGGUGGGGUAGUGGCUUACCAAGGCUUUGACGGGUAGCCGGCCUGAGAGGGUGACCGGACAAAUUGGGACUGAGAUACGGCCCAGACUAGGACGGGAGGCAGAAGUGGGGAAAAGUGCACAAGGGGAGGAAGCCUGAUGAAGGAACGCCGCGGGGGGGAUGACGGCGUUCGGGUGGUAAACCGCUUUAGCUUGUGAGGAAGCGUGAGUGACGGUAAUGGGGAAAGAAGCACGGGAUAACUAAGU